CCUACGGGUGGCUGCAGUGGGGAAUAUUGGACAAUGGGCGAAAGCCUGAUCCAGCCAUGCCGCGUGUGUGAAGAAGGCCUUCGGGUUGUAAAGCACUUUCAGUGGGGAAGAAAGCCUUGGGGCUAAUACCCUCGAGGAAGGACAUCACCCACAGAAGAAGCACCGGCUAACUCCGUGCCAGCAGCCGCGGUAAUACGGAGGGUGCGAGCGUUAAUCGGAAUUACUGGGCGUAAAGCGCGCGUAGGCGGUCUGAUAAGCCGGUUGUGAAAGCCCCGGGCUCAACCUGGGAACGGCAUCCGGAACUGUCAGGCUAGAGUGCAGGAGAGGAAGGUAGAAUUCCCGGUGUAGCGGUGAAAUGCGUAGAGAUCGGGAGGAAUACCAGUGACGAAGGCGGCCUUCUGGACUGACACUGACGCUGAGGUGCGAAAGCGUGGGUAGCAAACAGGAUUAGAUACCCGGGUAGUC
rnacentral:rRNA from 1 species